rnacentral:piRNA from 1 species
UCAUUUGGCCGAGCCUUCAUCCUGCACAGC